UACGUAGGGUGCAAGCGUUGUCCGGAAUUAUUGGGCGUAAAGAGCUCGUAGGCGGUCUGUCGCGUCUGCUGUGAAAUCUCAGGGCUUAACCCUGAGCUUGCAGUGGGUACGGGCAGACUAGAGUGCGGUAGGGGAGAACGGAAUUCCUGGUGUAGCGGUGAAAUGCGCAGAUAUCAGGAAGAACACCCGUGGCUAAGGCGGCUCUCUAGUACGGUACUGACGCUGAGACGCGAAAGCGUGGGGAGCGAACAGG
rnacentral:rRNA from 1 species